UACUCGAGUGGCGAACGGGUGAGUAACACGUGGGUGAUCUGCCCUGUACUUCGGGAUAAGCCUGGGAAACUGGGUCUAAUACCGGAUAGGACGAUGGUUUGGAUGCCAUUGUGGAAAGUUUUUUCGGUGUGGGAUGAGCUCGCGGCCUAUCAGCUUGUUGGUGGGGUAAUGGCCUACCAAGGCGACGACGGGUAGCCGGCCUGAGAGGGUGGACGGCCACAUUGGGACUGAGGCACGGCCCAG
rnacentral:rRNA from 1 species